CUUUUUUUUGGUGUCUCUUUAAGAUUUUUUUUUAAAUGUAUGUCAAUGUUUUGCCUCUAUGCAUGUAUAUGUGCCACAUGUCUUAUGCUUACUUGCAAGCCCAAGCCCUGUCUUUCCCUCCCAGUCUCCCUCCCCCUUUCUAGACCUCCCUUCCAAUUGGGAGUUUCUUCAGAAGUAACUAAAGUGCACACCACCUGUAAUGUCUACUCAAUGCCACCAGGGUGUCUCACGGUGCUGUCUGAUCUGUGUUCUUAUCUCUGGCCUUAGCUCAGAGCCCAGCUCAAGACAGUGAAAUGCUUGACUUCCUGGCUUUACAGUGUACAGACAGCUCAGCUCAGGAAAACCUUUGCCCUUUUUUUGGCCCCAUGGAAAACAACAGGUCAUUCAGAGGUUGGACUUGCCAGCCAGCCACUUAGUAACUAGGCAGCAGCCCUAUAAAAGCCAAAGAAGGGGCUGGCAAGAUGGCUCAGUGGUUAAGAACACUGACUGCUCUUCCAGAAGUUCUGAGUUCAAUUCCCAGCAACCACAUGGUGGCUCACAGCCAUCUACAAUGGGAUCUAUUGCACUCUUCUGGCAUGCAGGUGUACAUGGAGACAGAGCACUCAUAUACAUGAAUAUUUAAAAAAAAAAAAAAAGCCAAAGAACCUGUCAGUGUUUCAAAGAGCAGCUAAAGAGAAGCGGCUAUACAUUGGAGGAGAGAGCAAAUAUACAUAGAGACCUUGAAGGGAAUCUUCUAAGGCAGGGAAGAAGCAGAGACUUGUAUCUAUUGAAUCAAAAUACAAGCAGAUUCUAUGUCCAAGUAGCUGCCUCUAUGUGAGGAAAGGAUAGAAAACACUCAAGACAUCAUAUGGGCUUACGAUCUACAGAUUCCAACCAGUAGCAGGGGCUGACUCCUACACAAGAAGACUGGGAACUGCAAACAGGCUGGGGUCACCUCAGUGACAUCUGACGCUGUCCAACCAGAAGUCUGACUUGUGUGUGCGUGUGCUGCAGGAAUUGAAAAAUGUACUAAAAGACUAAAAUAUUUUGCCUUU
rnacentral:lncRNA from 1 species